UCGAACGGUAGCACAGAGAGCUUGCUCUCGGGUGACGAGUGGCGGACGGGUGAGUAAUGUCUGGGAAACUGCCUGAUGGAGGGGGAUAACUACUGGAAACGGUAGCUAAUACCGCAUAACGUCGCAAGACCAAAGAGGGGGACCUUCGGGCCUCUUGCCAUCAGAUGUGCCCAGAUGGGAUUAGCUAGUAGGUGGGGUAACGGCUCACCUAGGCGACGAUCCCUAGCUGGUCUGAGAGGAUGACCAGCCACACUGGAACUGAGACACGGUCCAGACUCCUACGGGAGGCAGCAGUGGGGAAUAUUGCACAAUGGGCGCAAGCCUGAUGCAGCCAUGCCGCGUGUAUGAAGAAGGCCUUCGGGUUGUAAAGUACUUUCAGCGGGGAGGAAGGUGUUGCGGUUAAUAACCGCAGCAAUUGACGUUACCCGCAGAAGAAGCACCGGCUAACUCCGUGCCAGCAGCCGCGGUAAUACGGAGGGUGCAAGCGUUAAUCGGAAUUACUGGGCGUAAAGCGCACGCAGGCGGUCUGUCAAGUCGGAUGUGAAAUCCCCGGGCUCAACCUGGGAACUGCAUUCGAAACUGGCAGGCUAGAGUCUUGUAGAGGGGGGUAGAAUUCCAGGUGUAGCGGUGAAAUGCGUAGAGAUCUGGAGGAAUACCGGUGGCGAAGGCGGCC
rnacentral:rRNA from 1 species